rnacentral:rRNA from 1 species
AGCGCAGACGGUUGAUUAAGUCUGAUGUGAAAGCCCGGAGCUCAACUCCGGAAUGGCAUUGGAAACUGGUUAACUUAAGUGUUGUAGAGGUAAGUGGAACUCCAUGUGUAGCGGUGGAAUGCGUAGAUAUAUGGAAGAACACCAGUGGCGAAGGCGGCUUACUGGACAACAACUGACGUUGAGGCUCGAAAGUGUGGGUAGCAAACA